GCAGAAUACGAUAAAAAUAUAUAUUUUCUGUCUGAUUUUUUUAUCCGAAGCCACAUCACAUCACAGAAGGUUAUUUAAAACACUCGACUUGACAUAUAUAUAAGCUGGAUCUUCUUCAGCUUCCUGUUUGGACUUCAGUAAAAGAUCCCAGUAUCUGUUACUACAUUUGAUCUUCAUGGAGAAUAAAAGAAACAGGUUUGAGCAGCACUAAAGAGCAUCCAGACACACACACACACACACACACACACACACACACACAUCAUAAACAAGGUCAUUACAGAGGUAUUUUAAACACAGGGCUGCAGUCUGCCAGCAGCACAACACAUCAAAGAACACACAGAUAAGUGAGCGACCAUCAGAUACACACACACACACACACACACACACACACACACACACUAAUGGAGUCGGACAAACCACUCCUCAAAACUCCUAAAGGAAAAGAGGAGGAGAAACAGGGACGAGGAGAGACGGCUGUGAACGCUCACGUCUGAAGGUAGUUAGUAGUUAGUCAGCUUUACUAGAACACACAACUGAAGGACGACUUCAUCUUCAUCUGAGGACGGAAGAGAGGAGAAAACAGGAGAUGAGAGGAGAAACUGAGGACUGGUUCAGAUGUGAAGUGCUGAUGUCAUGCACAAGAAGAUCAAGUGUCUGCAUAUGAAAACCACAUGAGAGGAUCAGACUCUUCAAAGAUCGCAGUAAAUCUGAAGCCGUCACUCACGGACCCUGGCAGAACCUCAAACAGGCCGGAAAACGUCACAGCGCUCAUUAAGGGCUGGGACAGACUGAGCCGAAUCCAUGAGGAACAUCAGCAGAAUCACUGUCACCUACACUGAUCAUCAUAAACAUACGCCGUGUGUCUUUGUGAAGGUCUUUUGCAGGAAUGGACGUAGAAGACAGACGCUGAAUGGAUGACAGCUGGUAAGAUCUGCACGUCAAUAAAUCACCAAACACAUAAACAGACGAGGAGGACGAACAUACCGCGGUUAAACUCUGUGUAAACUGGAAAUGAGCUAACUUAGAGAAACAUACCAUCCCCUAACAUACUGGUAAACAUGCCAUUUUGAAAAGAAUGUCACAAAAGUUAUAUGAAAUAGUAUAUGAUAUAUUUUAAUUUAAAUAAUAUAUAUAUAUAGAUCAACUGUGUCAUUCAGGAGUAUGUUGAAGUCAAACACUCAUGGCUUUAGUGUGUCAUGAACUCAUUUCUCCAUCAGCAGUUCUCCGUUUACUCUUUCAGACAUGAAGCGUUUGUUCAACCAUAUUUGGCCCUGGAGUGAAUCUGUGUAUCUUGAGCUCAUCACAUAUUUAAAGUCCAGACUGGAAUAGUUUAUGGUUCAAGGGUACUAAGAAAUGAGCCCUGUGUGAGAUCUUCCUUUCUGUCCAUCAUAUAUAUAUAUAUAUAUAUAUAUAUAUGUGUGUAUAUAGACGUGCAGUUUUAUAUAGCUUGCCAAGUUUAUAUUCCCAUAUUAAAAUGAUCAACUGAUUACUAAACAAAACGCCAACAAACAUUUUCAUACUAUUGAAAUAUUUCCAUCUGCGGUCUUUGAUUCAUUUCGUAUAAUUGAAUCUGAUGGUGUGGUUGAAUUAUUCCACACAGCUGCGGAUGAAUCACUGACUCAGAUGAGUGUGAACUAUUGAUCCGGACAGAUUCGUUGCCGUUUUCUUUCCCAUCUGGGAUCCAGACGUGAGCAGGACUGGACUGGUACUAAACCACAUUGAUACGUGGAGACUGAAUUCUUCAGUUCUAGACUGGUUUACAGUUGUUAACUUAAACUUAAACUGCUAUAUUCCAACAUGAUUUCAACUGGUGGGUCCAAAUGCGAACAUGGACCAAAUAGUACAAUAUCAACAACAUUCUGGUGUAAAAUCUGGAUUCAUUAAGUGAAACCAGUUGACCUACACCACUGUUAUUCAAUCAUUGUGCUCUACUACAUAAACUUUGACUUAAUUUGAGCUGCACACCAGUGCUAAUCCAGACUAAACCUGAGAAACUCAUCACAGAUUCACAGUCAGACACAGAAGAGUUUAAAACCAUUGGUCUGAUCUUUCACCUUCAGGAUAUCUUGACAUUAUCAGAGUCUGUCCAUCAGAAACUAUUGCUGAUCCACUAGAGUCGACUUCUCAGACUGAGGAUUCACUGUAACGCUUGAGGAGAAUCCGACCUAAACGCUUCCAGAUUCCUCCCUCAUUCCAAACACUCCCAGGUGCAACAUGUGGGAAAGAAAAACUCUCGUCUCUUCUCACUCUAUUGCUCUUCGAACGCACAUUCAGAGUUUGUGACAGUGAUUACAAAGCCUUCAGAUCGAAACCACCUUCAAUCAAUCAGGAUUUUAACCGACCUCCACACACACACACACACACACACACACACACACACACACACACACACACACACACACACACACAAUAAUACUGUGGGUAAUUAUCGAGGGUGAUUUAUGCUGAUCGAAAACUUUUUUGACACUCCAACAGAAACAGGAAACACAAGGGAAAUGAUGUCAGAGUCAUGUGACCUCACGGUGACAGGUCGGAGAAUUGUUUCAGGGUCCUAUUUCUCCAUGUGGAUCCCAUUACAAUCAUUUCAUUAUGUUCGGAGUACUCCAUCAUGUUAAAAACCACACACACACAGAAAUACUGCCUCUCUUAGUCUCAGUUUCUAUCAAGUUGUGCUCUAAAAUGGUUUGAAAACUAUAAUUCUGAACAAACAAAAUGUGUUUCCGUGGAAAAUUAUAGUUCACCCUUCUUUAAAGUAAACAAAGGGGUACCUCAAGGAUCUGUUUUAGGUCCUCUUAUUUUCCGUCAUUAUCACUGAUUUAGGUCUCGGAAGUACCUUUCUAUCUAUAUUUGAUUAUGGUGAUCUUUUAUUUAUGCAUUCAGCUGCAUUUCAGGAAAUUAGACUCUGUUUAUCAUGAUGAUUUAAGCUUUGUUUGUGGCGUACAGUCAGGUACACAUCACUGUAUUUUAUGCAAAUCUUUAGCUUGGUCAUCUCUACAUCACAGGAGAAAAUUGCAUAAGCUUUUAUUUAUUGCUAAGGCACUUUUAGGUAAAUUAGAUACUUAUAUUUCUAAUCUUUUAACCUCUUACACAAAUAGUUAUUGCACUAGAUCUGCAACUCAAACUCGACUGAAAGUCCCAAGGGUAUAUCUUUUCUUUUCUUGUCAUGCUCCUUGGGUUUGGGAUAAACUACAAAAUGUACUCAGUCUAGUUAAACUUCCCGCCUUGAGCACUGUCAAAUGUCUUUUGCAGACUGUCUUAAAGGAGACCUGUAAAUGUUUUUCUUGAUUUGUCUUUACUUAUUGAUUGUAUAUGUGUAUUUUUUAGUAUUGUUAUCUCGUGAAACUUUAAGUGCUGUCGUCUUGACCAGGAAGAAGAGAUUGUAAUAUCUCACUGGGAUCUUCCUGGUUAAAUAAAGGGAUAAAUAAAAUAAAUAAACAUUAAAUUAUGGCCAAAUUGCCACAAAUUAAAGGCAAACUGCAUAAGAACACACAUAUGUUUCUGUAUUAACUUCCCUUAAUGAGUUCAAGAUUGGACUUUAAUUAGUUUUCGGGUGAAUAAAAUUGACUUCAUUUCCCUUUUGCUCAAUGUUUUGUGGGUUAAAUCUGUUUUUACUGGGAAAAUAAAAUUGGCAACACUGGAUCCUCAUCAAGAAGGCAACAGAAACCAGACCUUUAGACGUGUUUAUACUGAAAAUACACUGAAAAAAAGUUGUUUAUCUUUCAUAUUGUAGAUUAUUUACUUAUAAUUGCAAUUCAGAUUAAAUGUUAACGAGUUGGUAAAAUUGGUUUCAAAACAAAACUGAUCACACUUUAUUUUGAGGAACACAUAUUCACUAUUAACUCUAAAUUUUGCCUCAAUAAACUACCAAUUUACUGCUUAUUAAUAGUUAGUAAUAUAGUUGUUGUAGUUGUUAAGUUUAGGUAUUGUUUAGGAUUAAGAAUGUAGAAUAAGGUCAUGCAGAAUAAGGCAUUAAUAUGUACUUUAGAAGUACUAAUAAACAGCCAAAAUGUUAUGCAAGCUGAUAAGCAACUAGUUAAUAGUGAGAAUUGGUCCCCAAACUAAAGUGUUACCAAAUGAAUAAAUGUAAAGUUUAUCAUAAUUAAUUGUAUUUCAUGAGGUAAGUUACCAUGUUUUUACCAUAAUAAGAAACUACAUCAUAACACUGCAAUCUAAAUAACGUUACUAAAGCUUAUAAACACAAACAUACGGCUAGUUUUGUGGUGCACUUCAACAAUACCAAAUCUCACUGUCUUAAUCAUAAGAGAAACGUGCACUAAAAUAAAUCUCACAUGCAAAGCGUCAUCCGAACAUCAUUUCCUUAGAAAAACGUCCACGACAUCAUCUAAAAUGCCACUAAUUCUCAAAGUCACAUGACUUCCUGUGCUCCCAGACUCUCCAUUAAUCUCCAGUAAACAUGAGGCCUUCAAACAGGACGUGAGCGAGGUUUGUUUUCACAUGUAUGCUGGGUAAAUAUCUGCAGCCUCAAGGCGACAGGUUUCAGAGAAUCACUGCAUUAUUAGAGAGUGCUGACAUGAUGAUUUAUGAGGGACGUGCUAUGACUUUCCUUUUGCAAAUGAUCCCAAAUGACAGAAUAAUGGGUCAGAGAGAAUAUUAGCAAUAAUCAGAAAGCUGAAUCAGGUGUUUAAGGGUGUUUAGAGAACAUUCGACGGAUCGCUGUGUGUGUAAGAUCUGAGUUUCUAAAGCACAAGUGGACCGGAGAUUCUGACUGGUCAACGAAUGUCCAUCUCAUUUAUUUGUUUAUCAUUUAACACCAGCAGCAAAGGCUAUUUUCAAGGCAAACUAAGAGUUUUAGAAAUUAAAAUAAUCAUAAUAGCAAUAAAACUUCAAUAAAAAAAAAAAAAAUUAUGCAAUCGUUUAAGAAAUGAGCCCAAAAUGCACCAUCCUGACUUUUGCACCAUCCUAAUUGAAAUCAAUGGAUCUGCAGUGUUAAAACUUUUCUGCUGAACACAGAACGUUUUAGAUUGGGGUCAGAAUCAUCUUGUUUUUUUUUUUUUAAUUAAGUGUAUUUUUCUGACCCCAUUGGCAGAUAUUUGUUCUUGUUUUAAUCAUAAACUUGCUUCAUUUUGAUGAUUUUUUUUUAUUAAUCAAGAUUUAAUAUCUUCAGUCAUUUUGUUUCUUCAGUAAAUGUAUCUUGAUUUAAGAAUGUUUAGAUAUUUGUACUGGAAAACAAGACAGAAAUACAGUGUAAUUUGCUGUGCAAUGAGCUCAACAUUAAAACACAUGGAUUUUAA